GAUGAACGCUGGCGGCGUGCCUAAUACAUGCAAGUCGAGCGAACAGAUGAGGAGCUUGCUCCUCUGACGUUAGCGGCGGACGGGUGAGUAACACGUGGAUAACCUACCUAUAAGACUGGGAUAACUUCGGGAAACCGGAGCUAAUACCGGAUAAUAUAUUGAACCGCAUGGUUCAAUAGUGAAAGACGGUUUUGCUGUCACUUAUAGAUGGAUCCGCGCCGCAUUAGCUAGUUGGUAAGGUAACGGCUUACCAAGGCAACGAUGCGUAGCCGACCUGAGAGGGUGAUCGGCCACACUGGAGCUGAGACGCGGUCCAGACUCCUACGGGAGGCAGCAGUAGGGACUCUUCCGCAAUGGGCGAAAGCCUGACGGAGCAACGCCGCGUGAGUGAUGAAGGUCUUCGGGUCGUAAAACUCUGUUAUUAGGGAAGAACAAAUGUGUAAGUAACUAUGCACGUCUUGACGGUACCUAAUCAGAAAGCCACGGCUACCUCCGU
rnacentral:rRNA from 1 species